CCUACGAGAGUCUGCAGUGGGGAAUUUUUCGCAAUGCUCGUAAGAGUGACGCAGCGACGCCGCGUGAAUGACGAAGGCCUUCGGGUCGUAAAGUUCUUUCGACAGGGAAGAAAAUGCCUAUAAGUAACUGUGUAUGUAUUGACGGUACCUGUAUAAGCAGCCCCGGCUAACUCCGUGCCAGCAGCCGCGGUACUACGUAGGGGGCGAGCGUUUUUCGGAGUGACUGGGCGUAAAGAGCACGUAGGCGGUGUUGUAAGUCAUUAGUCAACGACUAGAGCUCAACUUUAGUAAGGCUAGUGAUACUAUAAUAGUAGAGUAUCAGAGAGGAUUGCAGAAUUGCUGGUGUAGCGGUGAAAUGCGGA
rnacentral:rRNA from 1 species